UUGAAGCCAGCUUAUCCUGAUCCAGGGAUUCUAGGUUUUCCUAUGUUGAGGUUUAAGUACCUGCAGGGAUUUUGAGAAGCUUGUCAAGGUGAGAAAACUGAGCCUCAGAAGUUAAGCCACUUGCCUAAAUUAAUCUGCUAACCCAGGUCUUUGGACUCCAAGUCAUAGGAUCAUAGAUCUAGAUGUGAAUGGAAGCUUAAACAUUAACCAGUUACAGAAUCAUCAAAUGUGAGAGCAGGAAGAGCCCUCACUAGCCGUCCAGUCCAAGCCACUUGUCACCCUGCUGCAUCGUGAGAGGAAAGUGGUUGAACAGCCUCUGCUUGAAGACCUUCAGGGAUGCAGAACCCACCACCUCUUAAGGCACACCAUUCCACUUGUGAAGAACUCUAAUUGUUAGGAAGUUUUUCAUGAAAUCAGGCCUACAUUGGACUCUUUGUAACUUUGACCCAUCGCUCCUAAUUCUGCUCUUUGGGGCCAAAUGGAACACUAUUAAUCCUUCUUCCAUGAGACAGCCUGCAAAUACUUAAAGACAGCUCUAAUGUCUCCCUUGAAUCUUUUCUUUUCCAAGCUAAACAUGCCUAGUUACUUCUACCAAACCUCCUAUGGCAUGAGCUCAAGGCCCAUCAUCAUCCUCAUUGUCCUCCUCUGGAUAUUUUCCAACUUAUCAAUGUCCUUCUGAAACUGUGAUAACCAGAAAUGGACUUAUUACUACAGACUGAAUUCUUUGGAGUGAUUAUAGAUCUCAUUUAGGAGGCCUUCCAAGUGCUGGGAUUUGAUACAAUCAACACAAUAUCAUUUACCUACAAGUACAUCAGGAGGACUUCUCCGUCUACUCUACAAAGAAUUCCUCUUCCAUUUGGAUUCUGUUCUUGACAUCCAUCUUGACAGUAGCAAACAAUUUUCUUACAUCUCUGACUUAAAUGUCAUUUGAUACGCAUUAUCAAUGGAUCAUAAAAUGAAAUUGUCUCUAUUGUUAUAUCUUUCCAUGAAUCUUUAAUGAUUCUUUAAUAACCUUUAAUGAGUCAUUUUGGUGGCAAAGUAAAUAAAGAACUGGACUUGGA